rnacentral:lncRNA from 1 species
UACUGAAGCUCAUUUGGCACGUGUUUCUUUCUGCGCCUUAAUAAAUGAAUUUCUUGUCAAGAAAAAAAGGGACAAAAGCUGCUGUUUUGAGGGGUGUCCGAGCUUAGGAUAAGUGAAAGCAAAAGGAGCUAGAAGGGGCAUAUUCCAGGUGAAUCGUAAGCUUUAAUCCACGAUCAAACGUUAAGAUUUAACUUGUAAGGAAAGCAGAUGAAACAAGCUGUACACAUUGCAAUGAGCUAAUAUCAGACAAGAUUUAUUGCAUUUUUUUAAAAUCACUAAUUCACAUGUUUACUCUUCCAGAGGCUUGUAAAACCGUCCGUCAUGAAACCCGCAAUAUUAAGCAGUUUCAUCGUUAUAACACAAACAUUGUUGAAUCAUGUUGUUACUGCUGGUAAGAAAUUUAACAUUUAAAAAUG